UCCAACAUGGCGGAGUGGUUAACGCGUCAGACUUGAAAUCUGAUGCCUUCGGGCGCGUAGGUUCAAAUCCUGCUGUUGGAG
rnacentral:tRNA from 1 species